AUACGGAGGGUGCGAGCGUUACUCGGAGUCACUGGGCGUAAAGCGUCCGUAGGCGGUCGGGUAAGUCGGGUGUGAAAGCCCCGGGCUCAACCUGGGAAGUGCACCCGAUACUGCUCGACUCGAGUGCGGGAGAGGAUGGCGGAAUUCCCGGUGUAGCGGUGAAAUGCGUAGAGAUCGGGAGGAACACCAGUGGCGAAGGCGGCCAUCUGGCCCGCAACUGACGCUGAGGGACGAAAGCGUGGGGAGCAAACAGGAUUAGAAACCCGAGUAGUCC
rnacentral:rRNA from 1 species